rnacentral:rRNA from 1 species
AGACGUCUACAUUAGAUACCCGCGUAGUCCCAGCCGUAAACUAUGCGCGUUAGGUGUAUCGGUGACCACGAGUCACCGAGGUGCCGAAGGGAAACCGUGAAACGUGCCGCCUGGGAAGUACGGUCGCAAGGCUGAAACUUAAAGGAAUUGGCGGGGAGCACCACAACGGGUGGAGCCUGCGGUUUAAUUGGACUCAACGCUGGGAAGCUCACCGGAUAAGACAGCGGAAUGAUUGCCGGGCUGAAGACUCUGCAUGACUAGCUG